rnacentral:rRNA from 1 species
UACGUAGGGUGCGAGCGUUAAUCGGAAUUACUGGGCGUAAAGCGUGCGCAGGCGGUUUUGUAAGUCUGACGUGAAAUCCCCGGGCUUAACCUGGGAAUUGCGUUGGAGACUGCAAGGCUGGAGUCUGGCAGAGGGGGGUAGAAUUCCACGUGUAGCAGUGAAAUGCGUAGAGAUGUGGAGGAACACCGAUGGCGAAGGCAGCCCCCUGGGGUAACACUGACGCUCAUGCACGAAAGCGUGGGGAGCAAACAGG